rnacentral:rRNA from 1 species
CAGUAGCCGCGGUAAUACGUAGGGUGCAAGCGUUAAUCGGAAUUACUGGGCGUAAAGCGUGCGCAGGCGGUUUGUUAAGACAGAUGUGAAAUCCCCGGGCUCAACCUGGGAACUGCAUUUGUGACUGGCAAGCUAGAGUGUGGCAGAGGGGGGUGGAAUUCCGCGUGUAGCAGUGAAAUGCGUAGAUAUGCGGAGGAACAUCUGUGGCGAAGGCGACUAUCUGGGCCAACACUGACACUGAGGCACGAAAGCGUGGGGAGCAAACAGGAUUAGAGACCCCAGUAGUCCCUGUCUCUUAUAC